GUGCCAGCAGCCGCGGUAAUUCCAGCUCCAAUAGCGUAUAUUAAAGUUGUUGCAGUUAAAAAGCUCGUAGUUGGAUCUCGGGUCCAGGCCUGUGGUUCCUUUAACGAGGACACUGCUUGCCCUGACCUACCUGCCGGUUUUCCCUUGGUGCUCUUGACUGAGUGUCUCGGGUAGCCGGAACGUUUACUUUGAAAAAAUUAGAGUGUUCAAAGCAGGCAUUUCGCCUGAAUACUGGUGCAUGGAAUAAUAGAAUAGGACCUCGGUUCUAUUUUGUUGGUUUUCGGAACUUGAGGUAAUGAUUAAGAGGGACAGACGGGGGCAUUCGUAUUACGGUGUUAGAGGUGAAAUUCUUGGAUCGCCGUAAGACGAACUACUGCGAAAGCAUUUGCCAAGAAGGUUUUCAUUAAUCAAAAACGAAAGUCAAAGGUUC
rnacentral:rRNA from 1 species